AUUUGAAGGUUUAAUGCUCAAAUGCAGCCUGUUAUUAAGAUGUACUACACUACUCAGGCUACAUAUAGUCAGUG